rnacentral:tRNA from 1 species
UGUGGCGUGGCGGGCGAAGGUUUGCCUGCGACGCAGAAGGUUGCGGGUUCGAUUCCCGCCUCAACAA